CCUACGGGAGGCAGCAGUGAGGAAUAUUGGUCAAUGGGCGCGAGUCUGAACCAGCCAAGUCGCGUGAAGGAUGACUGCCCUCUGGGUUGUAAACUUCUUUUAUAUGGGAAUAAAAUGUUCCACGUGUGGGAUUUUGUAUGUACCAUAUGAAUAAGGAUCGGCUAACUCCGUGCCAGCAGCCGCGGUACUACGGAGGAUCCGAGCGUUAUCCGGAUUUAUUGGGUUUAACGGGAGCGUAGGUGGAUGGUUAAGUCAGUUGUGAAAGUUUGCGGCUCAACCGGAGAAUUGCAGUUGAUACUGGCAGUCUUGAGUACAGUAGAGGUGGGCGGAAUUCGUGGUGUAGCGGUGAAAUGCUUAGAGAUCACGAAGAACUCCGAUUGCGAAGGCAGCUCACUGGACUGCAACUGACGCUGAGGCUCGAAAGUGUGGGUAGCAAACAGGAUUAGAUACCCCAGUAGUC
rnacentral:rRNA from 1 species